GAGAUGAGGACUCCCACCCACUUGAUGGGGUAAGGCUCCCAGUAGACGACUGGGUUGAUAGGCCGGAUCUGGAAGCACGGUAACGUGUGGAGGUGACCGGUACUAAUAGGCCGAGGGCUUGUCCUC
rnacentral:ncRNA from 1 species